GGAUUUUAGAAAUUACACAAUUGUAGACUUUUUGAAAUCAAUGAGCUCAUAUUCCUCAUUUUACAGUUAAGAAGUUAAAUGACUUGCCUCAGGCACACAUCUGUUGAGAAACCGAGCGGGGCUUGCUCUUGAUACCCAGGGCUGGGACACCAGGCUGGCCGUGCACCUUAGAGUCUUCCUUCCCCGGACUCCUUUGACUUAUCCAGCAACCGAGCAUCUGGCGAGAGUGAGUGAGCUUACAUGAAAUAUUCCACCAAAGUGUGGAUGGAUUUGAUUUGACAAGACGGUGUCCAGGUGUUAAGAUGGAGAGACAGAAAGGCAAGAAAAUAUCAUAACUUCUAAGGUGUCAUGGAUCUGGCAUUUCCAGUUGAAAUCUCCCUCUCUUCCCCUGCUUCUCCUGUCAUCUGAUUUACAACUUCACUAUAUGGACCUAACGCAACAGAGAGUCCAAAUGCACCCACUUAGCUAAAAGCCUUUGCCCAAGCUGUUCUGUCUGUUGAGGUCCUGUUGCAGAUGCUGACGUUAUGCCCAUCAUUUUCUCUACAAAGAGUCAGCCCAAAUGCCUCAACCCCUUGAAGUUUUCCACAAUCUUCCAUAUCAGUUAAUUGCUCUUUGAAUCUUUCUUCAGUAACAUGAUUGCAAUGGACUGAAUGUUUAUGACUCCCAAAAUUCAUAUGUUGAAAUUCUAAUCUCCAGUGGAAUGGUAUGGCGAGGAGGGGCCUUUGGAAGGUGAUUAGGUCAUGAGGGUGGAACACUCAUGAAUGAGAUUAGUGUCCUUAUAAGAAGGGCCCCAGAGAGCUCCCCAGCCCCUUCUGCUGUGUGAGGUUACAUUGAGAAUUCAGACAUCUGUGAAGAAGCAGG
rnacentral:lncRNA from 10 species